UUGAAAGGGAAACGAUUGAAGUCAGUCGUGCUCGCGANAAAUCAAUUCUCNUCUCGAGAGACCCAUGUGGUGGCGAGCUUCAAAACCUCCCCAGCAUNGAUCUCGCGAUGAAGGGGAGCACUUUCGUGUCCGCUGGUUAACAUCAAUUUCGAACGUCAUAAAAAGGCUGGAGGGAUGUGGCUCCUUCGGGAGUGUUAUAACCUUUAGCGGAAUGUGGUGUUCGGGAUUGAGGAUUGCAACGAAUACCUUUAGGGCUGUUCCACCUGGCUUCUCUUUGGUAUCCUGGUGACGACAGCUUGCUGACGUCGUUAGGAUUCGCCUUUGAACAGGCUAGAGUGUGAGCAAAUUCGUUAAGGAUGUUGACGUA
rnacentral:rRNA from 1 species